CUUAGAACCACCUACCACCGCUACCAACAACUACUGCAGCACCACCAGAAAAAGAAUUCCCCAUAUGGGCGGCGGUCGUCAUUGCACUUGGCAUUGGCGGUUUGAUUGCAUUGUUGCUGUUCCUAGUGUGGAGAAAACGUCGGCAGGCCGAAAAUCUCGCACAAGAUGCAGAAGGAGGAAAUACCGGAAAUCCAGAGGGAGAAGAAGCUGAAGGAGGAGGCGAUGACGCAGAAGAGGAGGAAGCCACAAAUGCCGAAAGCGCCGAAAAGUCAGAAGACGCAGAGGGUGGAGAAGAAGCACCAGAGGAGGAGUAAAGAACCGGAUUUAUAACAA